rnacentral:rRNA from 1 species
UACGAAGGGGGCUAGCGUUGCUCGGAAUCACUGGGCGUAAAGCGCACGUAGGCGGGUUGCCAAGUCGGGGGUGAAAUCCUGGAGCUCAACUCCAGAACUGCCUUCGAUACUGGCGAUCUUGGAGUCCGGGAGAGGUGAGUGGAACUGCGAGUGUAGAGGUGAGAUUCGUAGAUAUUCGCAAGAACACCAGUGGCGAAGGCGGCUCACUGGCCCUGUACUGACACUGAGGUGCGAAAGCUAGGGGAGCAAACGGG